rnacentral:tRNA from 1 species
GGGCCUAUAGCUCAGUUGGUUAGAGCACCUGACUCAUAAUCAGGUGGCCCCAGGUUCAAGUCCUGGUGGGCCCACCA